UUAUCUUAAUGACUUCUGCAGGUUCUUGAAAAUAGAUAAGUACAUAAUUUUGGAGAACAAAAUAUGCAAACCAGAGUUGGUAGUAGAUUGGUCACUGAACAGUAUCACGAUGAAGAAGUACGGCCAUAUAUUCAACAAUUAAUGAAUGCUCAGAAUUGCUCUCCAGCCCAAACUUAUGAUAAUCAAUCUAAUAUUUUGAACAAUUCUGUUGGUACUGGAGCUGAGCAGAACAAUGAAUCAGGUCCUUCAGAGGUAAGAAAAGUUUGUGGGCCUACACUACUAAAAGAUGUUUGGAAUCUACCAUCAAGGAAGACAAUUGAUGUGCAAUAGAAUAGUCGUAAUCAAGCUAUUGGAAAAAAGGGUCGAAAGCUUGCUAGCUUUCUAAGUAUCAUUGCUAGAACCCCAGAGCUGACACCGUUAAAUAUAAAUGAUUGGCGAGUAUUUGACAAAGAAGAAAAGAAGAAAUUGGUGGAGUUUGUGAGGAAAAAGUUCUCGAUUCCAGUAUGUAGAGAAGAGUUUAUAAAAAAGUCAAUAGGGAAAAAAUGGAAGGACUAUAAAUGUGAUUUGAAGACUAUGUAUGUGACCAAGUAUAAGAGCAAAGAUGCCUUGAUGAAAAAUAGACCAAGUCACAUACCAAGGGAUCAAUGGACUGGUCUCGUCUUGUAUUGGCUUUCUGAUAAAGCAAAGAAGCGCAGUCAAGCAAAUAGAAUCAGUAGGGCUAAACAAAAGAUGCCUCACACAGGAGGAUCCAAAAGCAUAGCAACCUUGAUGAAUGAAAAGGCUAUAGAUGGAAUAGAGCCUACACGUGC